rnacentral:misc_RNA from 1 species
GGGGUAAGCUCUUUUAUCUCUACAAAAUCCAAGAACAGGAAUCGAGACCCUUUGACGUCAAAUUCAGGAACCCAGAUGCAAAAACUGAAACAAUAACAGUAACAAACUUCCCAUAUAAAUCACACACACAAUAAAGCUUCUUUGUGUCCUGCAUACCAAAAACAGCGGCUAACACAGCUGAAUCAGACAGGGGUAUGAUAAGAGACUUGAAAGAGAAGCAUAGCAAGAAAGGCUUUAGUUUUCCUUUCCUUUCCCUUUUACUCGCUUACUUUGGACCCGAGAGAGAGAGAGAGAGAGAGAGCAUAAGUGGCUAAAGCAGCCCCAGCAGCCCCC